rnacentral:lncRNA from 1 species
AAAAAAAAAAAAAAGAAAUAAAAAAAGAAAAGCGAGGGAAAAAAAUAAUAAAGAAAUAAGUAAAUAAAAAUGAAGUAGAAGAACCCAGAUUCCAAAUGAACAAAUUGAAACUGGAAAAGGAUCUUUCUGAUUCUCGAAGAAUGAGGGGCAAGGGGAUUGAUCGAGAAAGAUCUCUUGUUCUUAUUAUAAGUUAUAAGAUCGUGUGAUUGGAUCCGCAGAUGUUUGGUAAAAAGAAUAAUCUUCUCCUUUGAGAAUAAUCAAAAAUGGAAAGUGUUCAAUUGGAACAUGAAAACGUGACUGAAUUGGUCCUAGUUACUCUUGGG